AGUUUGAUCAGUGGCUCAGGACGAACGCUGGCGGCGUGCUUAACACAUGCAAGUGGAGCGACGAACCGGGGCUUGCCCCGGGGCAGAGCCGCGAACGGGUGAGUAACACGUGGGUAACCUGCCUCAAUGAUUGGGACAACCCGGGGAAACUCGGGCUAAUACCAAAUGUGUUCACUCCUUCUAAGGGGAGUGAGGAAAGGAAGCUUCGGCCUCCGCAUUGAGAUGGGCCCGCGGCCCAUUAGCUUGUUGGUGAGGUAACGGCUCACCAAGGCUUCGAUGGGUAGCUGGUCUGAGAGGACGAUCAGCCACACUGGGACUGAGACACGGCCCAGACUCCUACGGGAGGCAGCAGUGGGGAAUCUUGCACAAUGCGCGAAAGCGUGAUGCAGCAACGCCGCGUGGGGGAAGACGGCCUUCGGGUUGUAAACCCCUUUCAGUUGGGACGAAGCUUCGUCGGUGAAUAGCCGGUUGGAGUGACGGUACCUUCAGAUGAAGCCCCGGCUAACUACGUG
rnacentral:rRNA from 1 species